CCUANGGGUGGCAGCAGUGAGGAAUAUUCCGCAAUGGACGAAAGUCUGACGGAGCGACGCCGUGUGGGUGAUGAAGUCUUUCGGGAUGUAAAGCCCUGUCAGAGGGGACGAUAUUGACGGUACCCUCAGAGGAAGCCCCGGCUAACUACGUGCCAGCAGCCGCGGUAAUACGUAGGGGGCGAGCGUUGUCCGGAAUUACUGGGCGUAAAGCGCACGUAGGCGGGAACUUAAGUCGAAUGUAAAAGGUAUGAGCUCAACUCAUACACCGCAUUCGAAACUGGGUUUCUAGAGAGAGUCAGAGGGAAGUGGAACUUCCGGUGUAGCGGUGAAAUGCGUAGAUAUCGGAAGGAACACCAGUGGCGAAGGCGGCUUCCUGGGACUUGUCUGACGCUGAGGUGCGAAAGCUAGGGGAGCAAACGGGAUUAGAUACCCGUNUANUC
rnacentral:rRNA from 1 species